ACUAGCAGUAAGAGUUUGAUCAUGGCUCAGAACGAACGCUGGCGGCAGGCUUAACACAUGCAAGUCGAACGCACUCUUCGGAGUGAGUGGCAGACGGGUGAGUAACGCGUGGGAACGUACCUUUCGGUUCGGAAUAACCCAGGGAAACUUGGGCUAAUACCGGAUACGCCGGAACGGGAAAGAUUUAUUGCCGAAAGAUCGGCCCGCGUCGGAUUAGCUAGUUGGUGGGGUAAUGGCCUACCAAGGCGACGAUCCGUAGCUGGUCUGAGAGGAUGAUCAGCCACACUGGGACUGAGACACGGCCCAGACUCCUACGGGAGGCAGCAGUGGGGAAUAUUGGACAAUGGGCGAAAGCCUGAUCCAGCCAUGCCGCGUGAGUGAAGAAGGCCUUAGGGUUGUAAAGCUCUUUCGCCCGCGACGAUGAUGACGGUAGCGGGAGAAGAAGCCCCGGCUAACUCCGUGCCAGCCGCCGCGGUAAUUC
rnacentral:rRNA from 1 species